GGGACCCUGGGCAGCCUGGUCUAGUAUUAGAUGUGGAGCUUGGUGCCACCAUGUGUGGCAGGGGGUUGGAGCUUGAUGAUCCUUGAGGUCCCUUCCAACCCAACUCAUUUGAUGACUCUGUGAACUCUGGACACUUGUUCUUGCACAUAAACAUAUACACACAGGGCUGGUUCCAUGAGAUUUUAACCUUAAACCUGUCCGUAAACCACAGCAAAGCAUCCUCUUUUCUGGGUACAGGUUUCCAGCAUGUUUUUCCACUGGUUUUAUAGAGAGGGGAUACAGUUUGUUCAUCUUUUUAGUGAGCCUAUUUGUGCAUCCUUCCAAGACUGGUUUUUGGUAGCUAUUUUUUUUUCUACUGUGACAGUUAAAAAAAACAAAUGUGGGGAGAGAAAUUAUUAUUGACUUCAAUUCUUGCCACUGUUUUGCAUUGAUGGAGAAGAAAAUAUGAUAAAGAGGUGGAGGUGAUAAAUCAGAGAUGGCUUUUUUAAUUGCCUAUCCGUAUAAUAAGGAUUCCUGGCCCUAUGUAGGGUGUUCUUAAACUUUCCUUACAAUAUAUGCACGUUGCUCGCUUAAAUGGAUUUCAGCUAAAGUAGAAUUCUCUAAUUAGACAAUAACGUUGCAGAAAUUGACCAUUAUCUCCAGUUAUUGAAUUUUCAGGCAGCCUGUAUCAGCACUCAUGCUUCUACUAGUUGGUCGUUAAACAUGCAAAUAAUACAUGCAGAGGUUAUUGUUCAAAACUAUUCUCAAUAGUCUAAUAGCUUUUUAAUUUUUAAAAGUAGCUUAUAUUCAUCAGCUGGAGCUCAGGGUAUUCAGAUCGACUCAACCAGCUCAGUUAUUUUGUCCUUCUUAGCUAAUUAGAGGCUGUACUCAGAUCUGAUAUCAAUGGGGAAGCCGUGAUUUAUUUAUUCUGAUAAUCUCAUAAGCACUAGUCCAUGCAUUUGAGUCCAUGAGUUAAGGAUGUGGGAUUCAGUGCUCGUGUGUCUAUGCACAGAGAAAAUAGGAAGGAAAUGAUUUCUUCUCAGAUGUCUGUUAAGAGCACCAAAUCCAGCUGCAACCAGAGCACGCUGUAAGCAUGGGCUCUGCCUUUAUCUAUCUUCUGUUGCAGAAUUGGGAGGCUGUGCUACACAGGAGGGUGAAAGAUAGGAGCCCGUAACACAUCCCCAAACACUCGGACUCCAUUUCCCUGUCAUCCUGUCCCACAGCUCCCAUGUGCUGCAUCAGAAAGCACGCAGGGUAAAAAACUUCCCAUAGGAUGUCACCAACACAGACAAAAAGGUGUCAUCGAAUUGAUUAUAAGCAUUGAUCAUUUUCUUUAAUUACUUCCUGCGUAGGAAAUAGUUUUCAUCUGGCAGAUCUGGGCCACAGAACUGGAAAAAACAUUUGAACAACUCCUGCUAUGAGAUUAGAUCUUGCAGGUCUGCGUGCAUUCUGUUUUUGAAUGGUCUUCUGAGGGUUGGUGCUUCUGUUGCCCUGUUGUUGGAGUAUUGCCCAAACACUGAUAAAUUAAUGUCUUUAUAAGUCAGAGAUGUGUGAGACUGGAGAAUGGAAAAGGUUCUAUGUAAAAUCUGUUUGGGAGGUGUGUAGUGUUUGUAUGGGGAUAGCACAGAGAGGAAUUUAGGAUAUUGGCAAAUGAGAAUGUUCAAUAAAUAUUGAUUACUUUGCAAGUCUGAAUUAGAAGAAGAUGUGUGAAAUUAGAAGAGUUAACACAAAUGAAGGUAACAACCAUGUUGAAGGGAAGUCAGUGUGCAGGUUAGGAAUCAAGCUCAGAUGUGUGCUCCUUUGCUAGGCCAUGGAUCAGUCCUUUCCUUAUGGUGUUCUGUGGUUAAAUAAACUGAAGUCAGUCCAUUCUGGAGUUGUACAUUUACCUUUUUCUCCCAAGUUUUGUUUCUUUGUCAUCCUUUCCAGGUCAGCUUUUAGAGCAAGAAUAUCAGUAAACUUGGGGUAUAAACAUUUGUCUGCAUCCAGCUGUUCCGUACUAGCACAGGGCUGGCUGUAUAGCACAGUACACUUAUCCAGAAGGGCCAGUCCAGAUCCUGGAGCAGUGUGUUGGUGCAGUGACCAGGGCUCAUCUGCCCAGGUGGAGCACCACACUGAUUCUCUCCCUCUGUGUCCUGGCAGAGUAGGAGACCUCUCCAGAGGUCUGUGCUGUGCAGUGAUAGGCACGGUCCAGGGCUGAACUCACUGCAUUGCUAUGCUUGUGUGAAAUUGGUAAUUAUAAAUAUUUUCAAAAUAUUGACUUGAUAGGAGACAGAUGUAUUCCAAUCAGUUAAAUUUUCCACGAAAAAAUAAACCAUUCAGUGGAACUGCAGCGGCUGAAAGUUUGUAAUUUCAGUGCAUCUUUUCCUUUUCCAAACGAAAGCGAUUGACUGGAUGUACUUUGUUUUUCAUGCAGAAAUGCCAAUUGUUUGAAAUGAAUUCACAUGUGAAAGAAGGUUGGUUCAGGCCACCUUUCUGUAUCUGGUUAUAAUUUGCUCUCAGAGUAUGUGUAAUCAUUUGCUGGGAAUGUUCUCAUUUGUAGGAGUACAUACUGCAAUCUGUGCCAGUUUAAGCUUAGGUACUGUCCAAGGACUUGGGGAGGAUUGUUGUGAAAUACAAGAAUAACAAGAAAGCUCUGUUUUUCCAGCAUCUGAAAGGAUGAUAAAAUUCUUUCCUCCUUUGAUUUUAAUUUGUUUGGUAUAGAAAAAACUUUCAGCCUUCAUGUAACAGAUGUGUUUUGGCAGUGGUCUUUACGACGAGGCUGAGGCUCUGAGGUUUGCAUGCUGGUUCUGCAGUCCAGAGAAACAGGCACGUGCAUGUGAGGCUGGAUGCACAGUGACCAGCAGACUACCAAACACUUGGUUCCCAGUCUAGUAAGUGCUCAGCCAUUUCACAACAAGUCAACAGCUACUGACUUUCUAUUGCAAACAUAGCUUGUUGCCUUCCAAAUACAGAAUUAGAUCAGUGUGGCCCCAAUUUUUUUUAUUUUAUUCCGGACACGAAAUACCAAUAAGUUGGAAACUGUAAGUCCUGUUUUCCAGCUGUUUAAAUUGUAAGUUCCAAAAGGUGUGAAAACAUGAAGCAUCCAAAUUUGCCACAGAAAGGGAGUCUUGAAAUUUCCUUCUACAAAUAUGUGGAUUCUUCUAAAUGUAUCCAGGCUUGCACCAAAGUCCUGCAGUACUUAGAAGGUGUGGGGUCAGAUUUGCUUACUGCUAGAAGGCUUCUAAGGAACUGGAGACUUUAGCAGCAGUGGCAUUACCAUAAAUUCAAGGCAGUUUGACUGGGAGCCUUGCAAACUUGGCUUCUGAAUGUGCUAUUCUGUGUGCUUAGGAGUCAGGGUUUCUUUAUCCCUGUAUUUCCAUGGCCUGCUGGGUUGACUGCAGAGGAGCUAUGAGGAAAUGAGUCGUUUUCCAAUGGAAAGCUGCCUGUUUUUCAUCAGAAUUUUGGCCAAAUUAAUCAACUAAAAUGUUCUGAUGAACUUGAUUUGUUUUGUCUGGUGGAAUGUGUUUUGUUGGAAAGUUUCUGGAUGGCCACAAGCACCCAUGCUCUGGUGGUGGUUGUUUCAGCUUGCUUGAGGUGGUCUGGAUAAUGCAGAUAUCGUGACUGGCAUCUUCUAUCACAAGAGAAUAAUCUUUUAAAAAAUCUAUAAUGCAGAUUAUGAAAUGAGCUGUGACUGCAAAUCAGAAGAAAUAUACUGGAAACUGUUUUAUUAUGUCUCAUAUGUGAGUGAUUUAUGUAGCGCUGACUUUUAGUGAAGUUCAUAAAUAUGAGGACCUGCACAAAUCUGUACAAGCGGAUGUUUACAAUGAAACUUCUGGGCAGCAGAAGUCUUCUCUUCUUGCCGUAGUAUGAGACCAACUCUCCCAUUAUUUUUUGCAUUGUUUUCCUGUCCAGUAAUGCUCUUCAUUUUGUACUGCUUAAGAAUAUCCCAUGUCUUAGAUCUUGCUUGCUAGUGUAGAAGCACUAACUGUUGUACUCAACAUGCAAUUUAUAUGAAGCCCACCAGUUGUUCUUGUCACGGGGAGAGAAAGAUGAGCAGACGAGAGGUCUGUGAUCCAGAUACAAACCAGAUAUGAACAGUGGCUAGCUGUCUUCCAAGGGCUUGCCAUAUCUAUGAAAGGGUACUGGCAGAGGAGAAGUAUUGGAGGUCCUUGGAUUCAUGCCCAGGCUUUGGUCGAAGCUGCAGGGAAUGGGCUCUGCAGAAAUGGAGUCUAAAAUGGCUCUGAGUCAGCAGCAGCAGCUGCAGAAAAUGUGGCCUGGGGAGAAAAUGGAAAUUAAGACAUGCAGGUGUGCAGUGUUGAAAGUUUUGCCCUGCAAAAUUCAGUUAACAAUUUGACCAAAGCUGCAUGAACCAGACAAGAUUCCAGCUCUGUCUAGACUCCAGAGAAUUGACAUAUGAUAAAAUGCAAUAAAAAUCUUGCCAUAAAAAUAAAGAUGGGCUGCUGAGUAUCCCCUGUGCUCAGAUAUGUCUGGUCAGGAGUGUUCUUACACAUCUGCAGGCGUAGUGACUCUUCAUCCUUGUGUAGGCAGCCAGCCCUCUAGAGUGUUCAAUACAAAAGCUGUGUGUGUCUGCAGGAAGAACUGCAAUCCCCGUAAAGCUCUGGAAGAUUUCUAAAAGUUUUGCAAAUAUUUUAGGAGAUUUGAUUGCUGUAUCACUUGAAUCAACAGUAAUACCUGAGAUCAAAUGUGCCCAAGCAGUACUUCAUGAAGUUUGUUUUCAGAUGCUGAUUGAAUUUCACGUGCAAUGUAUGUGUCAGGUCCUGGUCAAGUCUAUCAGUUUCAUUCAUUGCUCAUGGGCGCACUAUAUGCACCCUUAUGGAGAAUCAUGUGUAUACUCUCAUUUUAGUGAAGUCACUUACUAAGGAAAAGGAUUGUUGGGUGAGGUUGGUAGAGCUCACUGCUGCAGUGGUGGAAUUACCCAGGUUCACUUUACAUGCCCAUAUUUAUGGCACUUGCCUGUCUGAAUCCACGUGUCUUGGGUUCUGGCGACUGUGUUUUCUGCUCUAUGUCCUGUGGCACAUCUGGAGCACAGUCAAGCAAAGAAUCAUCCCUCAGUGGUUUUGAUCUACUCCUGAGAAUACCCCUGGGUGGUGAAUGAGCUUGCCAGUAGGCCUCCAAGGAAUAUGCCGCAGCUGUGGUGAGUUAUUACAUCUUUGUUGAUUUGUAACCUGAAAUCUAUAUCCCACCGAGUCUUGCUGUGUAGCCCUCAUCUCUUUAACUUGGGAUUAUUGAUUGUAUUAUAAUGUUCACUUUGUACUCUGCACAGCUAGAGUACUGAUGAGGCUUUUAUUCAUGUUGCCCCUUGGAAAGGUUAUUUAUGUGGGGCUAUUUCCAACAUCUACGCCAAUUUGGAAAACAAAAUGUUUUAUCUUUCAUUAUUUAUUGAAUAAUCCUUAUGCAAAAUAAGUUGCUCGCUCAGAUAAAACAUGCAUUCAAAAGGACAUCUUGCCCCUUUCUAUUUACUUUAUUUCUGUUGGUGCGUUGUCUUCAAAUUAAGGAAACAUCAAACUAAGAAGGUUUCACACAUGGUUAGUUAUGCAAAGCUUGUUCUGCUCAUAAAUUCACUGAUCUAGGUUUGUGGCGGAACAUUUUUUUAGCCAUAAUAAAUGUUCUCGUAAUGUUGUGCUGUCACAUGUGUUGUUCUCAUUUUGUGCAUGCAAGACACACAUCCCUGUUUACUACUUAAAAUUUUACUUCUGUGUCUUUAGAUCAUAGAAACAAGUUGCAUUACCAGGCCGAUUGUUCCACUUUAUAGAUUAUUACCAAAAUACAGACUUUACAGUAGAAUACUACCACCAGGAUUCUGGUUUCUGAAUCGCUGUAUCAGAAGUAGGAACAACCAGCUGUAUCACUUUGCAGGAAGCUUUGGCGGUAAUACUUGAAUUUUUUUCCUUCGUACCAACCUUUCAUCAAACAGGACUUGUUAGGUCUCCUCUUCUGAAGGAAAUCUUGGGAGGAAACAAGUCAUCUGGUUUAUUUUCAACCGAUCUCCCAGCUUGCCCUCGAAACAUAAGUAAAUGUAUCUAUAUCUUUUUUCAAAACAUUAUAACUUUGAAUCAAGUAGAAAAAAAUACUUAUUUUGUGCAAUGGCUAAGUGAAUUAAUUGUCAUUUUUAGAAGCUGGAAUAGCUGAAAUGGUUCACAGACCCCAAUCCAAGUUUACAGAUAGAUGCAUAGAAGGCACUGAGUACCUCAGCCUUUUCCUCAUCCUCGGAGGCAAUGUUCCCUGGUGCAGCCAAUAAAGGAUGGAGAUUCUCCUUGGCCCUCCUUUUGUUGUUAAGGUGUCAUCCCGAGAAAAAAAGAGCACCUGAGAUUCCCUGAAGCCACUGACCAAUGCAGAGGGAUGGGGCCAGUAGUUUCAGCUAUAGCAGCAGCAGAAGCAAGAGAGGGAACCUGAUUUUGACCGGUCAGAGAGGUGAAGCAUCACCACUGCACAAGCAAGAUCCUCCAGAUUUUUCAACAGAAGGUAGAAGAGAGAGAUGGUGGGAAGCUGCUUCGCACUGGGGAGACUGGGGAGGAACAGCUUUAUGUCAGAAGACUGAAAAGAUGUUCAGAAGAGUUUGAAUCAUGUCUAAAGUUGAGCUACCCGAGGAUGCUCUGUGACACAGCCAUAAUGGGACCAGCCAUUAUGGUCUACUGUGUUAAUAACCUGUGAAUUAAAGCAUCCCCCAGCAAGCUCUUAAUGUGAUGGAUUGUAUCAGUGACGUCCUGUUAAAGGAUCCCCAAGCAGCCUGGACACAACAGGGCAGAGCGGUUUGGGAGGCCUAGCAGCUCCAUCAGAUGGUAGGGCUGUGCCUGGUGCAUGGGAUGAACCUGAUGGGAGAUCACGAGGAGCUUUGGAGGAGGCGCAGGAUGCUCAUCACAUUGCCAGGGAUGAGCCCGAGAGACCAAAACGCUCAGAAUCCUCUUGACGAAGAAAAGCAGAAGUCUCAGCAUUAAAAAUAGAUGCUUUUUAUCUUGCAUACGAUGCAAAAUCUCUUGUGAUAGGGUAUUUUUUUUUAUUAUAUUUUAGCAGCUCCAAGCAGUCUCGGAUUAGGCCUGUAUCACAACAGUAAUACACAGGAGGCUAUGUUUUGUCUUGCUAUGACACCAGCUACUAUUGUUUUUGAUCUGCAGGCUCUGAAGAGGGAUGCUGCAUCUUCGACGGAAGGUGUUAUGAGUGCAGAUUAGUUAGACAAGUGCUGGAGUGAAUGCAUAAGCAGUGAUUUUGCAUAAUGAGGUAUGUGAAAUCCCAGUGGAGGUUGUUAAAACAGAUAGACAGCCUGUGGUAAACAACAAGGAAGGUAAGCUUUGAAAACAGAUGGCUUUGAAAACCUGGCAAAUGACUGUUCCGUACUUAAAAAUCGGUUUUGUUGGUGGAAAAUAUCUUCUUAACAAAAAAAAAGAAAGAAAGAAAGAAAGAAAAAGCUUAGCCUGCAUAUUUUUGUAAACCUGAACAUGUUAAUACACAUUCCGUGGGUAACCAUAUAUCAGCUGUCUUUCCUCUGUACGUGUGCCUGCAGGAUGGAGGCAAUGGAGCGAAUACCCGGAGAUGUUCCCAGCGAUCCGUCAGACGUUGCCAUGCAGCUCCUUCUCUCUGGCAGACGUGUUGCUCUUCGUUAUCACUUUGACGAUCUAUGUAGCCCAUAGAUGCCCAAGGGCGACAUGGACGUGAAUUAAAGACAGGGUGGGUGCUCUGAUGCCUUCUUGAAAGGGAUCACAAAUGCAGCCAAGGGAUAUCUCAGUCUCCAUCUUCUGCUGCAAAAAAAAAAAAAAAGGUGAGUCCCUAAGAUUUGCAAUAAGAGCUGGUUUGUUCUGUGCCCUGGAAAAUACAGAACACGUGGACUUGUCAAACGCUGGGACUGCCUUGGCUGAUCUGGUGUGUGCACUCAGCUGGAGUUACAGCCCCAGCAGCAGAGCUUUAGCACCAGUGAUGGCAGCCCCUGCUCUUAAAUCCUGGGAAUGUGGGGAGAGCAACUGCUUGCUGCACGUGUUUCCCAGCUCAUUGUAACCGUGUUGAAAACGGGAUUGCACCUGGGUGAUUGGCGCGUGGUUUGUGGGAAUGGGAACCAAAAAAAAGUAAACGUCCCUUUCAUUGUUGGGUUUGCAAGGCCAGUGCUGGGGACAAGCCCUCUGUGUCCCGUGUUGGCAGAGGAGGGAGCUCCACUUCCACUGACGUUGGUUGGGGGAAAUAUGUGCUUAGGAAGCAAGAGAAGCAAAUUUAAUCCUCUUCAUCUUUCUUUCCAUAAAUUGAAGUACUUGCUGUGCAGCUCAUUUCUCAAGAUACUAAGUACAGCUGUUGAGAAUUUUUGCCAUUAGGUUGUUUUUUAAUUUAAAAAACGCUGAUUACAAAACUGGCUCUCUGUGCAAGAGAAGGCAGUGGAUUUUUUUGCAGCAAUUCCCCUUUUUCAGUAAUCUCAAAAUGUCCAAUUUCCACAUUGGCAAAAUGAUGAAGUGAGUUUUUUUCUUGUUUUUAUUCAACGUUAUUGUCAGCAUUUCAGGCAAUAAGUUAGAAGCAUUGUUUUUGCUUGAAGUAAAAAUAAAAUUAUUGACUUGAUAAUAUUUUCUUUGACAUUAUUAUUAUUAUUAUUACUCCUUCUCUGGAUUUUGCCUCUCAGCUCUGUUUGCACAUUGAGACCGCUGGGUGAGCAGCUUCUGAGAAGUCUACAGGACAGGAAAGUGCAUUUAAUUUUCAGUGGGAGAAAC